GACGAACGCUGGCGGCGUGCUUAACACAUGCAAGUCGAACGGACAGGCCCCUUUCGGGGUACUCGAGUGGCGGACGCGUGCGUAACACGUACGUAACCUGCCCUUGCCUUCGGGAUAACUUCAAGUAACUGGGGCUAAUACCGGAUAGGAAUCCUUGCUUCAUGCGGGGGGUUGGAAAGCUUCGGCGGGUUUUGAUGGACUCGCGGCUUAGCAGCUUGUUGGUGGGGUAGUGGCUUACCAAGGCUUUGACGGGUAGCCGGCCUGCGAGGGCGACCGGCGACAUUGGGACUGAGAUACGGCCCAGACUCCUACGGGAGGGAGCAGGGGGGAAUAUUGCACAAGGGGCGGAAGCCUGAUGCAGCAACGCCGCGGGCGGGAUGACGGCCUUCGGGUUGUAAACCGCAUUCAGCAGGGGCGAAGCUUGUGGUGACGGUACCUGCAGAAGAAGCACCGGCUAACUACGUG
rnacentral:rRNA from 1 species